UAGGGAAUCUUCCGCAAUGGGCGAAAGCCUGACGGAGCAACGCCGCGUGAGUGAUGAAGGUCUUCGGAUCGUAAAACUCUGUUAUUAGGGAAGAACAAAUGUGUAAGUAACUAUGCACGUCUUGACGGUACCUAAUCAGAAAGCCACGGCUAACUACGUGCCAGCAGCCGCGGUAAUACGUAGGUGGCAAGCGUUAUCCGGAAUUAUUGGGCGUAAAGCGCGCGUAGGCGGUUUUUUAAGUCUGAUGUGAAAGCCCACGGCUCAACCGUGGGGGGUCAUUGGAAACUGGUAAACUUGAGUGCAGAAGAGGAAAGUGGAAUUCCAUGUGUAGCGGUGAAAUGCGCAGAGAUAUGGAGGAACACCAGUGGCGAAGGCGACUUUCUGGUCUGUAACUGACGCUGAUGUGCGAAAGCGUGGGGAUCAAACAGG
rnacentral:rRNA from 1 species